GACGAACGCUGGCGGCGUGCCUAAUACAUGCAAGUUGAGCGAUGAAGAUUGGUGCUUGCACCCAUUUGAAGAGCAGCGAACGGGUGAGUAACGCGUGGGGAAUCUGCCUUUGAGCGGGGGACAACAUUUGGAAACGAAUGCUAAUACCGCAUAACAACUUUAAACAUAAGUUUUAAGUUUGAAAGAUGCAAUUGCAUCACUCAAAGAUGAUCCCGCGUUGUAUUAGCUAGUUGGUGAGGUAAAGGCUCACCAAGGCGAUGAUACAUAGCCGACCUGAGAGGGUGGUCGGCCACAUUGGGACUGAGACACGGCCCAAACUCCUACGGGAGGCAGCAGUAGGGAAUCUUCGGCAAUAGACGAAAGUCUGACCGAGCAACGCCGCGUGAGUGAAGAAGGUUGUCGGAUCGUAAAACUCUGUUGGUAGAGAAGAACGUUGGUGAGAGUGGAAAGCUCAUCAAGUGACGGUAACUACCCAGAAAGGGACGGCUAACUACGUG
rnacentral:rRNA from 1 species